AUGGAAGCAGCAGAUGAGGAGAGCCCACUGCUGAGCCAUCCCUGCCUGCGUCCACAGCCACAGGACGAAUAUUCAAGGUACACGAGCGAUGGAACGGUUGAUGUCAACAGACAGCCUGCUCUCAAGCACAGCACCGGCAACUGGAGAGCAUGCUUCUUCAUUCUAGGCGCCGAAUUCAGCGAAUGCUUGUGCUUCGCCGCCGUCGCCAAGAACUUGGUCACCUACCUCACCAGUCACCACGGUGCUCCACGAGAGCAACGUCGACGCCGCGAGGAACGUCUCCACCUGGGUCGGCAGCUGCUUCCUCACGCCGAUACUCGACUGUUGCAGUGUUCCUCUCUGUCUACAUCUUUCAUUUCUGAAACUUUUUCAUUGACAAUGUGCCAGGGGAUGUUCAUCAUGACCUCAUCGCCGGCGCUUCCGUGGCUCCUGCCUCGUUCCUCCGACGAGAGCGGCGGUGUCCAUCGUGCCGCCGUCUACCUGGGGCUCUACCUUGUCGCCCUCGGCACCGGCGGAAUCAAGCCCUGCGCCACGGCCCUGGGCGCGGAUCAGUUCGAUGGCGCCGACCCGGCGGAGCGGGUGGCCAAGGGCUCCUUCUUCAACUGGUACUACUUCUCCAUCAACAUCGGCUCGCUGCUGUCGGCGACGUUGCUCGUCUGGGUGCAGGACAACAUCGGGUGGACCGUCGGGUACGCAAUCCCGACGGUGCUCAUAGGAUUCGGCCUCGCCGUGUUCGUCUCCGGUGGGAAGAUUUACAGGCACAAGCCACUGGGGGUGGGAGGUAGCCCACUGACAAGGGUCUGCCAGGUGGUCGUCGCUGCCGCGAGGAAUUGCCGUCUCGAGCUGCCCGAUGACACCUCGGCCCUGCACGAAAAUGGCAUGGCUCAGCACACCAGGCAAUUCCGGUUCUUUGACAAGGCCGCGAUCGUGCUGGUGUCGUCGGAGAAGAAGGGCCCGUGGCGGCUCUGCACGGUGUCGCAGGUGGAGGAGCUAAAGAUGCUGCUGCGGAUGUCACCCGUCUGGGCAUCGAUGCUCGUCUUCUUCGCGGUCACCGCGCAGAUGUCAACCACGCUGAUCGAGCUUGGCAUGACCAUGGACAACCGCGUCGGCGGUUUUGUCGUGCCGCCGGCAUCGCUCUCCACAUUUGACCUCGUCAGCGUCCUCAUCUGGGUUCCCCUCUACGACGCCGUGCUGGUGCCGCUCGCACGGCGCGUCACCGGCGAGCACAGGGGAUUCACGCAGCUGCAGCGCAUUGGCGUCGGCCUCGCGCUGUCCGCGGCCGCCAUGGCGUACGCCGCGUCGGUCGAGACGAGGCGGCUGGCGUCGGCGAGCUCGAUGAGCAUCAUGUGGCUGGCGCCGUGCUACUUCGUGCUGGGCGCGGCCGAGGUGUUCACCAGCAUCGGCAUGCUCGAGUUCUUCUACGAUCAGUCCCCAGUAUCCAUGAAGAGCUUGGGCACGGCCCUCGCGCAUCUUGCCGUCGCUGGCGGGAGCUACCUCAACUCCGCCCUGCUCGGCACCGUCGCGUCUGCCACGGGGUGGAUCUCGGACAAUCUCGACCAAGGCCACCUGGACAACUUCUUCUGGUUCAUGGCGGCUCUCAGCAUGCUCAACCUGUUGCAGUUCGUUUACUGCUCCAUCAGAUACAAAAGCUAA
rnacentral:rRNA from 1 species